GCCAUGCCGCGUGAGCGAUGAAGGCCUUCGGGUUGUAAAGCUCUUUAGCCGAUGAAUAUAAUGACUGUAGUCGGAAAAUAAGCCCCGGCUAACUUCGUGCCAGCAGCCGCGGUAAUACGAGGGGGGCGAGCGUUGUUCGGAAUCACUGGGCGUAAAGCGUGCGUAGGUGGCGAUGAAAGUUAGGAGUGAAAGCCCAGGGCUUAACCUUGGAAUUGCUCUUAAUACUCCAUUGCUUGAAUAUCGGAGAGGAUAGCGGAAUUGUCAGUGUAGCAGUGAAAUGCGUAGAUAUUGACAGGAACACCGGUGGCGUAAGCGGCUAUCUGGACGAUUAUUGACACUGAGGCACGAAAGCGUGGGGAUCAAACAGGAUUAGAUACCCUGGUAGUCCACGCCGUAAACGAUGUGUGCUUGUCGCUGGGAGGUUUACCUCUCGGUGACGGAGCUAACGCAUUAAGCACACCGCCUGGGAAGUACGGUCGCAAGAUUAAAACUCAAAGGAAUUGACGGGGACCCGCACAAGCGGUGGAGUAUGUGGUUUAAUUCGUCGCAACGCGAAGAACCUUACCAGGCCUUGACAUACCAAUUAAGAGAAGCAGAGAUGCAUCUCGUCAGUUCGGCUGGAU
rnacentral:rRNA from 1 species